GGAGGGUACAUAUGGAGCCUGGGAAAUCACAUCUUGGGGGACUAUGACAGCUUGGGCAUGAAUAAGUUUUACAAGAUCACUGACAGCCCGGUACCAGGAAAGGCUGGGGUGCUGGGCCCUGAAGCCCUCAAGAUGCAGGAGUGGGGGAACUCUGAGAGGCAUGGGAAGCUGGACUUCUUUGCUGACAACAAGCCAUGAAAACUUUGUGAUCACACUCAACCCAGAGAUUUUACAGGCAUAGCAAAUCCCCAUUACCCAGAAUCUGUCAUCAAGGAAGUGCCAAGAACAGAAAGGUCUGGAAGCUUAUCCAAGAACUAUCACACUUUCAAGAGCUGGGGAGAGAUGGCAUGGAAAUGGCAGCUCUCACCAGCAGGCACACAGGACUGAGGCCCCUGCCUGAUGGCCCACUGGGCUGUUCCACACCUGCUGGAUUUCUUAUCAUGGAGUGUGACCAAGGAUGGACUUGAUUGCUUCAUCAGAACCCGUCUCUGAGGCUCGGAUCCGUGUGGUGAUGUUACCUGUGGGAAAAAGUCACAGCGAUGAUAUCAAAUCAAACUUUGGGUAACAAAAUCAAUGUCAUAUGAAGACAUCACUUUGAUAAAUGGCCCGGAGCUGAGGUCAGUGGUAUAAGGAGGUUCCAGGCCAGAAUCAUACUGCACAGUUUUAACCCAAAAAACACAGCUAAUGACAUGCUGCUUCCUAGGUUACUGACUGCAAAGAAA